GAUGAACGCUGGCGGCGUGCCUAAUACAUGCAAGUCGAGCGAACAGACGAGGAGCUUGCUCCUCUGACGUUAGCGGCGGACGGGUGAGUAACACGUGGAUAACCUACCUAUAAGACUGGGAUAACUUCGGGAAACCGGAGCUAAUACCGGAUAAUAUAUUGAACCGCAUGGUUCAAUAGUGAAAGACGGUUUUGCUGUCACUUAUAGAUGGAUCCGCGCCGCAUUAGCUAGUUGGUAAGGUAACGGCUUACCAAGGCAACGAUGCGUAGCCGACCUGAGAGGGUGAUCGGCCACACUGGAACUGAGACACGGUCCAGACUCCUACGGGAGGCAGCAGUAGGGAAUCUUCCGCAAUGGGCGAAAGCUUGACGGAGCAACGCCGCGUGAGUGAUGAAGGUCUUCGGAUCGUAAAGCUCUGUUAUUAGGGAAGAACAAAUGUGUAAGUAACUAUGCAUGUCUUGACGGUACCUAAUCAGAAAGCCACGGCUAACUACGUG
rnacentral:rRNA from 1 species